GACGAACGCUGGCGGCGUGCUUAACACAUGCAAGUCGAACGGAAAGGCCCUGCUUUUGUGGGGUGCUCGAGUGGCGAACGGGUGAGUAACACGUGAGUAACCUGCCCUUGACUUUGGGAUAACUUCAGGAAACUGGGGCUAAUACCGGAUAGGAGCUCCUGCUGCAUGGUGGGGGUUGGAAAGUUUCGGCGGUUGGGGAUGGACUCGCGGCUUAUCAGCUUGUUGGUGGGGUAGUGGCUUACCAAGGCUUUGACGGGUAGCCGGCCUUAGAGGGUGACCGGCCACAUUGGGCCUGAGAUACGGCCCAGACUCCUACGGGAGGCAGCAGUGGGGAAUAUUGCACAAUGGGCGGAAGCCUGAUGCAGCAACGCCGCGUGCGUGAUGACGGCCUUCGGGUUGUAAACCGCUUUCGCCUGUGACGAAGCGUGAGUGACGGUAAUGGGUAAAGAAGCACCGGCUAACUACGUG
rnacentral:rRNA from 1 species